rnacentral:lncRNA from 1 species
UUGGAAAUAAAUUAAAAAACAGAGGAUAAGUUGAUGUUGAAUAGUUGACAGGGUCUUGAAGAAGUUAUGCUUGCUUCGACGAUACCAGAAUCAAAGAUACUUAGGAUUCUUGAUUGGGAUCCUUGCUGAUCUUCUGGUUGUAUCAUUGCCUCCAUCUUUUGCAGAAGCCUUGUCCUCCAGGUUCAAGUGGCCAAAUUUAUCUGUUAGUUUGCUGCUAUUUUCCUUGGUAACUUUUUCUGGGGCAAAUUCUUCCAUUGGACAAGACUUUCUUCAACAAAUUUUGCUCCCUUUUUGAUC